AUUGAACGCUGGCGGCAGGCCUAACACAUGCAAGUCGAGCGGAGCGGCGGACGGGUUAGUAAUGCCUAGGAAUCUGCCUGGUAGUGGGGGAUAACGUCCGGAAACGGGCGCUAAUACCGCAUACUAUCAGAUGAGCCUAGGUCGGAUUAGCUAGUUGGUGGGGUAAAGGCCUACCAAGGCGACGAUCCGUAACUGGUCUGAGAAGAUGAUCAGUGACACGGGAACUGAGAAACGGUCCAGACUACUACGGGAGGCAGAAGUGGGGAAUAUUGGGCAAUGGGCGAAAGCCUUAUGAAGCAAUGCCGCGUGUGUGAAGAAGGUCUUCGGAGUGUAAAGCACUUUAAGUUGGGAGGCGGUACCAAAAGAAUAAGCACCGGCUAACUUCGUGCCAGCAGCCGCGGUAAUUC
rnacentral:rRNA from 1 species